UACGUAGGGUGCAAGCGUUAAUCGGAAUUACUGGGCGUAAAGCGUGCGCAGGCGGCUUUGCAAGACAGAUGUGAAAUCCCCGGGCUUAACCUGGGAACUGCAUUUGUGACUGCAUGGCUGGAGUGCGGCAGAGGGGGAUGGAAUUCCGCGUGUAGCAGUGAAAUGCGUAGAUAUGCGGAGGAACACCGAUGGCGAAGGCAAUCCCCUGGGCCUGCACUGACGCUCAUGCACGAAGCGUGGGGAGCAAACAGGA
rnacentral:rRNA from 1 species